AGUCGAGCGCAGGAAGCUCACGGAACUCUUCGGAGGGAAGUGAGGGGAAUGAGCGGCGGACGGGUGAGUAACACGUAAGGAACCUGCCUUAAGGAUUGGGAUAACUCCGAGAAAUCGGAGCUAAUACCGGAUAGUUCUUCAGACCGCAUGGUCUGAUGAUGAAAGGCGCUUCGGCGUCACCUUGAGAUGGCCUUGCGGUGCAUUAGCUAGUUGGUGGGGUAAUGGCCCACCAAGGCGACGAUGCAUAGCCGACCUGAGAGGGUGAUCGGCCACACUGGGACUGAGACACGGCCCAGACUCCUACGGGAGGCAGCAGUAGGGAAUCUUCCACAAUGGACGAAAGUCUGAUGGAGCAACGCCGCGUGAGUGAUGAAGGUUUUCGGAUCGUAAAACUCUGUUGUAAGGGAAGAACAGGUGUGAGAGGUAAUGCUCAUGCUAUGACGGUACCUUACGAGAAAGCCACGGCUAACUACGUGCCAGCAGCCGCGGUAAUACGUAGGUGGCAAGCGUUGUCCGGAAUUAUUGGGCGUAAAGCGCGCGCAGGCGGCCUUUUAAGUCUGAUGUGAAAGCCCCCGGCUCAACCGGGGAGGGUCAUUGGAAACUGGAAGGCUUGAGUACAGAAGAGAAGAGUGGAAUUCCAUGUGUAGCGGUGAAAUGCGUAGAGAUGUGGAGGAACACCAGUGGCGAAGGCGACUCUUUGGUCUGUAACUGACGCUGAGGCGCGAAAGCGUGGGGAGCAAACAGGAUUAGAUACCCUGGUAGUCCACGCCGUAAACGAUGAGUGCUAGGUGUUGGGGGGGUUUCCGCCCCUCAGUGCUGAAGCUAACGCAUUAAGC
rnacentral:rRNA from 1 species